rnacentral:rRNA from 1 species
GAUGAAUGCUGGCGGCGUGCCUAAUACAUGCAAGUCGAGCGAACAGACGAGGAGCUUGCUCCUCUGACGUUAGCGGCGGACGGGUGAGUAACACGUGGAUAACCUACCUAUAAGACUGGGAUAACUUCGGGAAACCGGAGCUAAUACCGGAUAACAUGUUGAACCGCAUGGUUCAACAGUGAAAGACGGUCUUGCUGUCACUUAUAGAUGGAUCCGCGCCGCAUUAGCUAGUUGGUAAGGUAACGGCUUACCAAGGCAACGAUGCGUAGCCGACCUGAGAGGGUGAUCGGCCACACUGGAACUGAGACACGGUCCAGACUCCUACGGGAGGCAGCAGUAGGGAAUCUUCCGCAAUGGGCGAAAGCCUGACGGAGCAACGCCGCGUGAGUGAAGAAGGUCUUCGGAUCGUAAAACUCUGUUAUUAGGGAAGAACAAAUGUGUAAGUAACUAUGCACGUCUUGACGGUACCUAAUCAGAAAGCCACGGCUAACUACGUG